GACGAACGCUGGCGGCGUGCUUAACACAUGCAAGUCGAACGGAAAGGCCCUGCUUUUGUGGGGUGCUCGAGUGGCGAACGGGUGAGUAACACGUGAGUAACCUGCCCUUGACUUUGGGAUAACUUCAGGAAACUGGGGCUAAUACCGGAUAGGAGCUCCUGCUGCAUGGUGGGGGUUGGAAAGUUUCGGCGGUUGGGGAUGGACUCGCGGCUUAUCAGCUUGUUGGUGGGGUAGUGGCUUACCAAGGCUUUGACGGGUAGCCGGCCUGAGAGGGUGACCGGCACAAUGGGGAAGGAGAAACGGCCCAAGCUCCUGCGGGGGGAAGAGGUGGGGAAUAUGACAAAUAGGGGGGAAGCAUAGGGCGGGAAGGCGGGGUGGGGGAGGAGGGCCUUGGGGUGGAAAACCGUUUUCGCCGGUGACGAGGGGUGAGGGCAGGAAAUGGUGAAAAAAGAACGGGAGAACUACGG
rnacentral:rRNA from 1 species